AUCUGCCUUUAUUGUGUUGUAAUUCUUUCAUGGAUGUCGGUGUUAUAAAAGAGCUUUUGGUAACUGAAGCAAGAUAACUUAUUAUUUUGAAAGAUGCCAGUCAGGACCUGUACAAAAACAAAAAGCUUCUUUUGAAUGCGAACUACUGCGGAUGACUCGGAGCUUUCCUCGGCGGUUUACUCAGAGGACAAAGGCACCGGCGCACGCUCGGACAAACAAAAUGGAGGGGCAAUGACGCAAGGAAAAACAAACAAACAAACAAACAAACGACAAGACAGAACGGCGGAGGAGCCGGCGACCAGUCGAGCAGUCAUCCUAGCCAAGCUGAACACUUGGAAAGCCGCAAAAUUACACUUUUUAGGCUUGUGGGCAAGGUAAUGGCAUGGUUGCGGGAUUUUUUGCUUUCAAUUGAGACAAGUAGAGGGCACUACACUGUGGCUUCGUUCAAUGUAAUUUAUUUCCACUCUUAUUAGUACAGAAAAAAAAAGAAGUUACUACAACACAAUACAUUUGGGAUUUCCUUAUUUUUUUCUAAAACAGUUUUAGUAUUAGAUUUAGUUUUUUUUAAUGGACGAUUUGUCGAGUGCAAAACAAAAACAUACAGGUCACUAAGAAAUAAAGUAAAAUGAAUUAAAAUUCUUAAACAACUCACCUUUAUUAUCAAUUUAAGACAAAAAUCAGACAGAAAUGAAGGAAAUGUUUACUAUUUGUUUUAUAAACCUAAGAUUUAAAUUGAGUUUAAUAUUUUCAAAAGCGCUUUUUUUUUACUAUGUUAAAAAAAUGUUUUGAAAUUUUAGUAUGCGUCAUUUUGUUAGAUUUUGUUAAAUAGGAUCACCUUGUGACAACAUUUUGAUUAUAAACCAGAAAGAGAUUUCCGGAUUUUCUUUGGGGUAAAGAAAUUCAUGGCAUUGCGUUGAGAGGACCCAGAUGAGGUGGCUCAGGCAUCAGGAUGCCUCCUGGACACCUCCCUGGGGAGGUGUUCCAGGCAUGUGCCACCGGUAGGAGACCCCGGGGAUGACCCAGGACGUGGUGGAGAGACUAUGUCUCUCAGCUGGCCUGGGAACGCCUUGGGAUCCCCCGGGAUGAGCUGGAUGAAGUGGCUGGGGAGAGGGAAGUCUGGGAGUCCCUCCUAAAGUUGCUGCCCCCGCGAGCCGACCCCGGAUAAGCGGAAGAAGAUGGAUGGAUGGAUGGAUGGAUGGAUGGAUGGAUGGAUGGAUGGAUGGAUAAAGAAAUGCAUGGCAUUGCAUUGGAGCUCAGAGAUGUUUGUUCUUCCACACAAUGCUCGCCGAGAUGACUUUCGAUGCUAAUUUGAUGUUCAAGCCGACUCAGGGUCGGAAUUGAAACAGCUGCCUGUGCUGCUCGGCCUCCAGCUGCUCCCAAAUUGUCCCGCCAUUAAGCUAUUAUGCCUUUACGAGCAGAGAAGCCAGCAAAGCCACCAGAGGUGCUUCACGGCCUCGUUCUGUAAUGCUUCAUCAUGGCGCUCUUCCACUCGACAGCGUUGGCCUCGCCCCCCGUGAUACAAUUAGGAGGGCUAUCAAGCCACAGAAGCAGGUCGGAAGUAUCCAGAUGCCAUUGCUUUGCUUUUCACAACACAAAAUAAAUAAUAAAUAGCAGGUCAUUUACAGAAUCAUUGCCGUGAGUAAGAAAUACAAACACGGCAGCUGUUUUGUUUGGGUUUACAACAACACGGGGACAUUGGAAAUCAAACCGCUGUAAUGUGUUUUUUUAUUGCAAACAUGCAUCGACUUUUUAAUCGAGCGUGUCCUCAUUUGGAUCUGCUCACUAAAGCACUGUUUCCCAACCUUUUUUCAUUCACGGCACAUCUUUUCAUUGGAGAAAAUCUGGCGGCACACCGCCAACAAAAAUCUGUUAUGCUCCUACAUUAAAAUCAGUUAUAUUACAACGAAAGACGUAAAGUCCUAUUCCUAUAUACAGUAUGUAUGGAGAGUUGAAUAAUUUAAUAGAAAUAAAUACUAAAUAUUCUUUAAAUUGUAUCCCUUUCUUUAAAUAAAAGUGACAGUUUUUUAAAAAGGUUUUAGACGGUGUAAGAAAUAAACUAUUUAAAGUCAUUGUGAUUAAAAUAAAAGAAUCAAUGUGAUUUUGUUUACUGUUUUAGACUAGGUCAUAGG